UCCCUGGUGGCUCAGACAGUAAAGCAUCUGCCUGCAAUGCUGGAGACCUGGGUUCAAUCCCUGGGUGGGGAA
rnacentral:tRNA from 1 species